GCCGCACCCUCAGCUCCUCCUGUCCAUUCCUCUCUGAUUACAGUCGACAGAACAGAGAGAGUUCCCUAAAAAAAAGACAGAACAGAGAGAGGAGAGCAAUCCCUAGGGUUCGUCGGCGGCCGAGGCCAGCGGGAGCCCGACGACAGCGAGGAUCAAGGGGGCCGGGAGCGCGCACCCGGCGGCAGCUACCACUACGCGGGGAGCGAGCACCACCAGACGACCAAGCGGAUCGCGUGCCGAAGAGAGAAAGGGGAGGGAGAAGGAGGAGGGGGAGGCCGCCCAUGACGCGAGGGCGGGUGAACGACGACGGCGUGGCGAACCACUACAUCGAUUGGGAGAGAAGAGGCCUGGUGCAAGACAAUAGGCAAGAAUAUAACAAGUUUCAAGAGCACGGCAUCUUCUAUCUUGGAUCCAGAUUCAACAUGGGGAAUGGGAGGACAACUACAGGUGGAGAGCAGAUUUGUUGGCAAGAUCCAAUUUUCUGGUGUAACCUAGUAUGGUAUCAUGCUUUUGCCCAAGAAAAAAUUAGAAAAAAUGAUGAAGAAUCCUGUGUUUUUACCUUGGUGUUUUUGAAGGGAGAAAAAUUUGCC